GUCCGUCCGUACGGAUCCGCCUUUUUACUGCUAUCUCGUCCUCUUAAAGUCAUUGGCACAGUGCUAGCAAUCUACAGCAGAUAGCAUCCACGCUGUUUGUCUAGACACCCACUAAUGACCUUGCAGUCAAGGACGACGCGUACAGUGUGGACUAGUCCUGGAACAGAAACACAGAAAGAAAAAAAGAAAAGGCAGCCACCUGCCACAACACUGGGCAAUUGACAUACUGUUAAUUGUUAGUCCUUUGUAGGUCGUCAUGCCAUUCGAAAACAGUCCCUAGGCUUUUAAACGUUACAACCCUAAACCUGUUGUACGAGGAGUGAUGCUUGUGAUGAAAACGUUGACUAAACCGCAUUGUCUUCGGCAGUUUUACCUCCUACGGUUCAUAUCUUAACGAGAUUGUUCAAAGAGGCUCUCGAGACGGCAAUCCGUUGACGUUUGCUUGAUCGUCUCUCAGAACCUGCGUGUUUUUUUUUUAAUAACAAUGAGUAGCAAUCCAGUCUCAAGCUCCAGAAAUAACUCAUGAAGCGGAGGCUGUGGCGUUGCCUGGGGUGUUGAGCUGUUACUAAAUAGUGGUUGAACUACACGGUUUCACUCGUAUUGGUAUAUUCAAUUACAAUUCGAUAUAUUCAAGAGAAGGCGGAAGGUGUGCUCAGCUGAAGCAAUGGUCCCAGGUAUUUGAGCUAUGCUAAGAUAGCGCCACACCCUUGGUGUCAAUUAAAACAGCGCUUCGUGUUUCACAGGAGCGCCUACCUGUAUCGACAGGCACCUGGAUCAGCAGGCUGUAAGCAAAACCGAGGGCAGCGCGCAGCGCCGUUCUGCACCAUCGCAAGAUCCCCACACCUGCUUCAGAAGCCUAGAAAUGGAUCGAACAGGUGUAUCUCGGAGUCAAGACGAAAGCUCCGGAGACAAGGAGGUCUCUAGCUCAGAAGAACAUGAUCCAGAAGCUGAAAGAGUUGGGCAGACCGUCAGCGGUAAAUCAAUUUGAACAUUUCUACAUAAGCUCACUCUAAGUGAAGCUCUAUACUUCAUUUCUGAUUAAUGAACUACCCCCCCUUAAUUUAGAAUACAGGAAAUCUGUAUGUUUUCUAAGCUUGUAAACACAC
rnacentral:lncRNA from 1 species